rnacentral:tRNA from 1 species
GGCCCAAUCGCCAAGAGGUAAGGCAGAGGACUUUGACUCCUCCAUCGCUGGUUCGACUCCAGCUUGGGCUGCCA